ensembl:snRNA U6 U6 spliceosomal RNA
GUCACUUCAGCAGCACAUAUACUAAAAUUAGAAAGAUACACAGAUUAGCCUGGCCCCUGUACAAGGAUAUCACGCAAAUUUGUGACACGUUCCAUAAUUUU